rnacentral:rRNA from 1 species
AACGAACGCUGGCGGCAGGCUUAACACAUGCAAGUCGAGCGGGCCCUUCGGGGUCAGCGGCAGACGGGUGAGUAACACGUGGGAACGUACCUUUUGGUUCGGAACAACUCCGGGAAACUGGAGCUAAUACCGGAUAAGCCCUUAGGGGGAAAGAUUUAUCGCCAAAAGAUCGGCCCGCGUCUGAUUAGCUAGUUGGUGGGGUAACGGCCCGCCAAGGCGACGAUCAGUAGCUGGUCUGAGAGGAUGAUCAGCCACACUGGGACUGAGACACGGCCCAGACUCCUACGGGAGGCAGCAGUGGGGAAUAUUGGACAAUGGGCGCAAGCCUGAUCCAGCCAUGCCGCGUGAGUGAUGAAGGCCUUAGGGUUGUAAAGCUCUUUUGUCCGGGAAGAUAAUGACUGUACCGGAAGAAUAAGCCCCGGCUAACUUCGUG